rnacentral:rRNA from 1 species
AGUGAACGCUGGCGGUAGGCCUAACACAUGCAAGUCGAACGGCAGCACAGUAAGAGCUUGCUCUUACGGGUGGCGAGUGGCGGACGGGUGAGGAAUACAUCGGAAUCUACUCUUUCGUGGGGGAUAACGUAGGGAAACUUACGCUAAUACCGCAUACGACCUACGGGUGAAAGCGGGGGAUCUUCGGACCUUGCGCGAUUGAAUGAGCCGAUGUCGGAUUAGCUAGUUGGCGGGGUAAAGGCCCACCAAGGCGACGAUCCGUAGCUGGUCUGAGAGGAUGAUCAGCCACACUGGAACUGAGACACGGUCCAGACUCCUACGGGAGGCAGCAGUGGGGAAUAUUGGACAAUGGGCGCAAGCCUGAUCCAGCCAUACCGCGUGGGUGAAGAAGGCCUUCGGGUUGUAAAGCCCUUUUGUUGGGAAAGAAAAGCAGCAGGUUAAUACCCCGCUGUUCUGACGGUACCCAAAGAAUAAGCACCGGCUAACUUCGUG